GGCGUAUUUGGCCUGCGCCGGACGCGGAGCGGCGGUUCGUCGUACCUAGGUUCCGGCUUGCCCCUGGGAGCUGUUUCUUUUAGGUGUUACUGAGUGGCUGCCUAAGUUUGCAGCUUUCUCCACAGGCAAAAUGAAGUAGAGACAAUUAACCUGAUAAUCAGUAGAAGAACAAAAUUCAUGUAACCAAGACAAGAAAGUGGCUAUGGUGCAUAUGAUCUUGUGGUUUAUAGAAAAAGAAGGUUAUCUGCAAGGAUUCCUUACAUACAUUCUCCACUCCAGCACACGUGCCUAAAGUUUACUGAUGUUGAUUCAUCCUUGAAAAGAUUGAAAAAUAUGACUGUAUUAAAACUUAAAUCGGGUCAAUAACCAAAGACAUUAAAAAGUCAGACAAGCCAUAGUCCAUGAAAAGAUAUUUACAAUAAAGAAUUAGUAACAAGAAGAAUAAUAAUUUUUAUAACCCUAUAUGUCACUAAGAAAGUAGCUGAAUAGCCUAAUGGAAAAAUGAAAAGAAGAAAGAGGAAGAGAAAUAGAUGAACAGAAUAUUUACAAAAGAAAGAACUUUAAAUGGCAAUGUAUAUAUAUGUAUAUAUAAAUACUCAUUGUGAAUAAUCAGGGAUAUUUCCAACAAAAACUAUAGCCUCUCAGAUAAGAUAAAAUUUAAAAGUCUGGGGAAAAAACCCAGAAAAUAACAAACACAACUAAUGGGAGUAUAUAUUGUCAUAACCACUCUAGAGGACAAGUUGGCAUUAUCUAGUAAGGUUGAAGGUGAGCAUCACUAGGAGCCAGAAAUUCCACUCUGAGAGAAACUUUGGUGUAUGUAACAAGGCGAUACAUAAAAAAUGUUUAUUUUGAUCUUAUUGUUUUUAAAAAUUUUCUUUCUU